rnacentral:rRNA from 1 species
GAUGAACGCUGGCGGCGUGCCUAAUACAUGCAAGUCGAGCGAACGGACGAGAAGCUUGCUUCUCUGAUGUUAGCGGCGGACGGGUGAGUAACACGUGGAUAACCUACCUAUAAGACUGGGAUAACUUCGGGAAACCGGAGCUAAUACCGGAUAAUAUUUUGAACCGCAUGGUUCAAAAGUGAAAGACGGUCUUGCUGUCACUUAUAGAUGGAUCCGCGCUGCAUUAGCUAGUUGGUAAGGUAACGGCUUACCAAGGCAACGAUGCAUAGCCGACCUGAGAGGGUGAUCGGCCAGACUGGAACUGAGACACGGUCCAGACUCCUACGGGAGGCAGCAGUAGGGAAUCUUCCGCAAUGGGCGAAAGCCUGACGGAGCAACACCGCGUGAGUGAUGAAGGUCUUCGGAUCGUAAAACUCUGUUAUUAGGGAAGAACAUAUGUGUAAGUAACUGUGCACAUCUUGACGGUACCUAAUCAGAAAGCCACGGCUAACUACGUG